rnacentral:rRNA from 1 species
GAAGAGGGGACGGGCGCGGAAGGAAAAGAAGUAGCAGGCUACGGGUAGCCGUCCGCUGUUCCUGCCCUUAGUCGCGGCAGCACCACGUCACCUCGACGACCCUUCUUCCUCCUCCCGCCGACGUAGGGCCCCCCACGACCACCUCCCGCGUGCGUCAGGUACCCCACGCACGUGCCGUUCACGACGGACGGCACCCCGCUGCCGCCUCCCGCCGCCCUUCCGCCACCGCACGGGCCGCCGGCGCCGCCGAGGUGGGAGCCGGCGCGGCACCACGGCCCGCGCCCGGACCCCGACAUCAUGCGGUGCGACUGCCACCUGCCGGUGAUGGGCCUGAGGGGCCCGGCCCGCAGCGUCCUACGCAUGGAGCACCGGUGCGCGAAGCGCCCGCAGGGGCUAGAGGUGGAGAAGCGCCAGAAGCUGCCGGUGCCGCGGACGCCUCGGCGGUCGAGGCCCACGCGCACCCUGCCCGAGGGGGAGGAGGAGGAGGAGGAGCGCCGGCUCCUACGGCGGAGGAGCGCAGCCUGGGGCGCCGCCACAAGGCCCACCGAUACCAGCCCCAGUUGCUCCUCUACGUGCGCCGCCGCCGGCACCUGCUGAGGUACUCGCCCCGGUGGCGGCAGUGCCGCGAGUACCGGCCGCCGCGCGAGGUACACCGGUUGCAGCCCCUGAGCGCGCGGUACCGGCCCCAGACCGCGCUGCCGGCGCAGCGGCGGCUGCUCGACAGCACCCUGGUCCGUGGCAAGGCGCGGCUGCUCGCACGCGCGCAGUACAGACAGCUCGUCCACCUCCCGCAGGUGCUGGGGCUCCGGCUCCCGAACGAGCGGAUGCUCCCCAUGGGGCGGGGCGCAGACCCGGGCCGGGCGCUACCCGAGAUGGGCCCGUGCGGGAAGUGCGUGUAAGAGCCGCUGGAGCGGCGGCUCCCGCAGCCCCAGCUGGGACUCUAGUGGGGCCGGGUGGAGAAGAAGCAGCAGUGUUCGCUACCGCACAAGCUCAAGGAGAGGUCGGUUCUUCAGCAGUUGUACGUAUUUAUCUGCCACGUCUUACAGGCGGGUUGGAGCGGCAUAAACCGAUUCGUCUUAAACAAGAGAUGCGGAUGUUCCACAAACUACUUUUAGGGUCUUCCGACCGUCCCCUCCUAACCAGAUACUCGAAACUAUUCCGACGAGUGGUUACUCGACCUGCACAAAAACAGGACCCAUGAACGUACUACCUUCUUCUUUAACCCAUAAGGAUUUACACGAUGACGUCUAGUUUCCACUUAAGUAGGGUAAAAGAAUGAAGUUAGAGUCCAAUACACUCCUCCAACCGCCGAAUUAACUGGGUCCAAAACAUUGUAUAGUUACCGUCUAAACUAAAACAGAACCCUCAUUGUUCCUUCUUCCCAGUCAAAUACAAGACCUGAUUAGUGUUUUUUCCUACGGUGACUUUUAUAAACUGGACUACACUCCUUUUCUCUCGUAAACAUGACCACCCAAACUAAACAAUUAGGUCACCCCAUGUCGGACCACCUUGGUACGUUUACCGCUAGAAGCAAAGAGUCCGACAUAAUCGCGAAUCGUUUGAAGAAACACGGCGGCGGACGCGAAAGGGGAAGGUAGAGGCGGCGGAGCAGAGGAGGAGGAAGUGGUGGUGGGGGAGGGGACGGAGGCAUGGGGUUCUACCUCCUCGAGGGGUUCCGGUAACACACCGACGACGAGUUCCUGUUCGAGCGGGCCCAGUGGCACCGGCCCCGGCCGCUUCCACAGUACUUGUUCCUGUGGUACCGGCGGAAGUGGUUUUCGCGGGCGUAGAAGUAGGUGACGGAGAGGUGGUGUAACCAACUACGUUUUUGACGUUGACCUCCGGAACAACUAACCUGGGUUUACUGUAGAGAUCCAAAGUCUUAAGUAGCUUCUAACGUCCCAUUGAUUAACGUGGAAUACCUCUUCCUCGUCCGGCACCUCCUCACGUUCAUCGUCCAAGGGCCACUGACGUUUAGACUUUAACUUCUAUCCCGUCUAACAUAACCAAGACGAACGAACGUCUUGAACACCAUACGACCGGUACCUCAUCAGUCUGGGACGGUUCUUUCUCCUCGUCCUCUACUCCUCGUGUUGUAAAUCACAUGUUACCACGUACUACACCGUCAAUCCUAGUCCUGUGCUCCUUGUGCUGUGACCCACAUGUUUUCUAAUCAUCCUUCUUACAAUUAGUGUCACACACUUUUCUUUUACGCUCGAGCCGACUACAUAACGCAUGAUAAACCGACUCAACAAAACAGGAUUUCUAUGUUAAUUCGACUUCUUAAGAAAAACAUACCUUUAAGUGAUACCUUUAGCUUUGUUACGUUACACUACUGAAGGCCGUUACACUACUGGAUCGCUCGCUGUCACCUAAGUCAAGUCUUCGAUAAAGUAACCGGUCUAUCUGUAAACAUACAACAGCGCCCCGGAACUCUGUUGAACAGGAUCUCGACUUACAAAAAAAUCUUUCAUACUAGGUCUAUAACCGUAUUUUUUCGCUGAGAGUGCGGAUAGUAGUUUUGUAGCUCUAUUCCUUUUACGCUCGAGCCGACUACAUAACGCAUGAUAAACCGACUCAACAAAACAGGAUUUCUAUGUUAAUUCGACUUCUUAAGAAAAACAUACCUUUAAGUGAUACCUUUAGCUUUGUUACCAUGAGACGUGUUGGCAAAUGAAAGAACGUAGCCAAGAAGUAAGAUAUUCACUUUGGAAAAGAUAAACCAUUUUAUUCUCANNNNNNNNNNUCGAGUACGAACUUGAAGGUGGUACAUACAAUUGUGAACCUAUGACAUAGUUGGGUCAUUAGGAGUUUAGGAAGUAACAAAAGGGAACGUAACGGAGGUUGAUAAGUCGUCCUGGAAACUUUUCUUACUAAAAAACCAAUAUAUUAAAUAAUACUAAACAAAGCGGAAGCUCUCCAUCUUACAUUUCAUCUGACCAUGAAAGUAAGGCAAUCUAUAAACUAUAUUCACUUAUAUAUGGAAAGCCAUCCACUUACACGAGAGGUAAUUAUAGUGAGUAUAUAAACUCGAAGUCUCUUCCUAUAGAUACGGUAAAACAAAAACAAAAAACUUGUUUUCUCACAACAUACAUAUAGCAAUUCUCCUACCUCGUCGUUUUAAUAGAUGCGUUAAAUCGUCCUAUACCGACUAUACAUGUCUCACCGACCACAAUGAUGAUAAAGAAAGCAACAUUUUGACAUCAGAAUCUUGCGAUACAUAGUACUUACUAGGUACACAUGGUUAGACGCGGAUUUAUAUAAAUACAAGUGAGAAAGAUAUGAACGGAAUGAGAGCGGGGAACGCGGUAGCCGCGUUGCCCAGUAGAUCAGUUAUACUUGUUGGCUCCCUACAGCAGAGCGACAAGCCGAAAUGUAAUACGUAGCUUUCCUUUGUUUACUUUUGUUCGAACCGAACACGAAGACUAAGACGAGGAUCUCAGCUCCAAUUUAAUAGCAAACCAACGCCACGAAGGUACAAGUAGAAUAACAAAAAAAAUGGAAGGGAACAAUCACUAAAAAGUCUCCAAGAACAAAAUUUACUCAAUUCAUAAUGAAAUGAAAACAACGUUUUGGAACACUUAACACUACAAACUCACAAACAAACUAUACAACCCCCUAAUUUACUAAACGGGGUGAAAUGUUCCCCAAUCUAUUAAACGGGGUGUCAACAGAGAUUUACAGGUCACCGGGACCGGGG